GAUGAAGAACGUAGCGAAAUGCGAUAAGUAAUGUGAAUUGCAGAAUUCAGUGAAUCAUCGAAUCUUUGAACGCACAUUGCGCCCGCCAGUAUUCUGGCGGGCAUGCCUGUUCGAGCGUCAUUUCAACCAUCAAGCCCCCGGGCUUGUGUUGGGGACCUGCGGCUGCCGCAGGCCCUGAAAAGCAGUGGCGGGCUCGCUGUCACACCGAGCGUAGUAGAUUUUAUCUCGCUCAGGGCGUGCUGCGGGUUCCGGCCGUUAAACCACCUUCAUAACCCAAGGUUGACCUCGGAUCAGGUAGGAAGACCCGCUGAACUUAAGCAUAUCAAUAAGCGGAGGAU
rnacentral:misc_RNA from 1 species